GAGGUUGAUAUAACUUCAUUGAUUUUAAUUAUGUAUAUUAUUUUCUCCCUACUCCAUCUGGCAGAGCUGAACUGUAAAAUUGAAACCAGAAGGUUGCAAAUCUCAGUUAGUUCAUGAAACUUAACUGUCAAUAUUAGCGUUGUGACCAACCAUUGUUAUAUGUGUUUUGUUAUGGAACCUCAAGAAGCCUUCGAAAUCUUUAGCACAGCCCUUAGUCACAGUCAAUCAAUUAUUCCACUUUGCAGGUGCUUGAUUUUCCAGCAGACAGCAAUUGCACACUGAGUUUGGAAGGUGGGCAAACAUGCCCGUGAAUAUUUGGAAGUUUAUUUUUCUUUACUGUCACAGACACAUCUGUUAGACAGGAAUCUUAUAAUAUGUCUCUCAAAGAUUGCUAAGAUUCAUUUUUAACAGCGUCUUUUAAAAAUAUUUUGUCACACAUGGCUUAUGGAGAAAUCAUUAGUAAGUAUAAACAUAUCCUUUGUUUUACACAGUGGACUUAUAAUAAUAUUUUACCAUUUUAAUUACCUGAGACACUAAAAAUUAGAUUUUAAAUGUGCAAUAAAAUUGAUUUAGAGGUUUUCUAUGUCCUGGAGAGAUUUUCUUAUUUAAAAGUACUAUUUUAAAUAGGAUUCAGUGAUAAAUUUUGAAAGAAAGGAGGUAAUCAAACUGUAUAUGCUUCACAUGAGGCUGUUUAGCUCCGUCUUAUGUGAACAUUGGCCAGACAAAUUAUGUCGAACUGCAUGAUACCUCUGCAAACAUUUUCAGGCUAAUGUCAAGUCAUUGACUCAUAAUUUUGGUGAGAUUGAUAGGUAAUACUCUUUUUUACCUCAUCUUAAAAGAGUGGAAAUCCGUGGGAUCUAUUAUAGCUUUGCAGGGGAAACUGGCUUGCCUCACAGAUGAAAUGGCUUUCUAUAAGAUGUAUCUGUUGACAAAUCAAUGACAAAAGGUGCAUUCCUUCAACAUAUUCAUACCUGACUGGUAGUCAUACUCAAGCUGUAACCCCCUUCUAUUGAUAACACAUGAAACCAGUGCUUGUGUCUUCAUUCCAACUAGCUGCUUUGAGUUGAUGGUGAUUACUCAUGGUGAUGGGAUUCAGGAAAACUCACUUCUGUCUCUGAAAUUAUUUUGACCCAGAAGUUCCUAGAAAUGUUUGCUUGUCAUUAUAGUAUACCCAGGGUUCUGAAAUGAAGCUUAUUUACAGAUAAAAGUAACAUCAGUGAGAGGCAGACUAGCAUAGUUGCUCAAACUUUCUGAGAGCCAUUCCUAUGUGGUUCUGGAUGAUAAACUGACCAGAGAGAACCUGUAGUAGGUUCAGCUGAUCCUACCCAGCCACUUCAGUCACCGUUGGAUACCUGAGGAAAGUAAGCCAUGGGAAGUCAGCAUUGGAGCAGCCCUCUUUGAAGAAUGAGUUAGUCAGGGGAGGAAAAACUGGGUUGCAAAGUGUGAGAUGACUAUAGGAUGUGAGAAGACUGAGGGAAAUGGAGGAUUUGAGUGGCCUGUUUCCUAAUAGGCUCCAGCACCUGAUGGUUCAUCUGAAAUCCCAGCCCAUGUUCCCUGAGAUAGUGCUGUCACCGUAUAAUAUAAUUGUCCCUUGCUUAAUCCAGCUGGAUCAAUUCUGUCCCUUUUGACCGACUUUUCCCUAUGACACCACUCUAGACAAAAUAUUUAUCCCAAAAUGAAUAACAAUCCAAAUCUUAAACACAUCUCAUUUAUUCAGCUUUGGAUCAAGUAAGUUCAUAGUAGUAGUGGUUCAGUGAUUUUUUUUUUCAUAUAUACCAAAUACCAUUCAUAUUGUAAUGUUACACAAUGGUUCUUUUUUUAACACACAUAUUUACCUUUAAUUAAAUGAAUUCGAUUAAAUCAUCCCAGAAAUACCAUACUGGCUUCGAUUCUGCUGCUCACUUACCAAUAUGUGCAGCAUUGAAAAGACAUCUGGCGAAAGAAAUUAAUAUUUAUUGAACCCUUACUAUGUUGGGGACAAUAUCCUAUGUGCUUUAUUUAUGUUGUCUUAUUUCACUUUCAUGGCAGCCCUGUCAGGUAGGUAUUAUUAAUAGAGGAUGAAUUUCAAGCUCAGAGAGGUUAAAUAACUCACCUAAAGUCAUAUAGAUAAAAUAUGUGAGGCCAGUCCUGUUUGACACUGUGCUCUUUUAAAUAUAUUUUGCAGUUAAUCAGUCAUUCAACAAUAUCUGCUGAACAUGUACUAUGGGCCAAGAAGAGUGUUACUAUGUGGGACUGGACAUGGAGGGUGCGGUAAAUUGUAAGUCAUGUUAAGAUUUUAUUCAAAAUGUUGUCAAUCUCUUAUACAUGGGAUAAAGACUAUAUUUUUGGAGUUUUUCCUCUCAUUUUUUUAAAAAAUAUUGAGGUCUAAAUAAUAUGGGAAUAUCUAAUGGUGAUUCUAAACAUAAGAAGUUGAGGAUGCAUAAGAGUAAUCUCCAGAUGUCAUUUUAAGAUCAUGAAGAAUCUUAAAAUUUGCAGCUUAGUAAAUUCAGCUCAGCACCCAGAUUUUGUGGCUUUUCUAGUAUCUCUGUGAUUAGGCAGCAAAGACCAGGCUGCAUGGCAAACUGGAUUAAUUAAUAAUCAUGAAAGAUUCCAGAGUUUUACAGUUUAAUCAAUAACUGGUUGACUUAUUUGUUUACCAAAAGAUACAGAGAAGGGGAACAUGAAAUGGCUUACAUGGUUUUCAGAGUAUGUUUGUCAUGUGAAAAACAUGUAAUUACUGCUUUUUUCCUAAAAGGCAUCUUUCUGAAUUAACUCUAUUUACUUUAGAUGGUCACUACUUUCUCUGACUGACAGUUCCAUGGUUAGAUAUAUUUAUUGAUGCAGAAAUAUUCUUCCUUUCCUGUAAUUCUCCUUAAUUGAUCUAAUUAUAGCCAUAAUUGUACCUAAUUUAAAUGGCCCCACAUUGCCUUGGGGUAUUACUGUCAAAAUAAACAACAUAUAUGUGUAAAAUCACACACACACAUAUGCAAGUAUACAUACGUAUGUGCUGUGACCUUUACCUGUGUAAUUCUUCUAUACAGACCUCAGUCUUAUUCAAAACACUAAUUUUACACAACAAACUAUAAUGGUAAGUCUUUGAGUUUUGUGAUACUGUGACAAAAGCAUCAUUUUUACUUUAGCUGAUGUCAGUAAAAACCAAAUCAUCCAAAGCAUUGCAAUGUGUUAUUCAGUAUGAAAAUUAACAUUAAGAGUUGACCAAAAAAUGCAACCAAGCAGAAAGUACUGUGAACUGUGUUGAAACAGGUAGGGUUAUAAAAUCCAUUUUAAAUUCUUCCUGGGGAAUAGCUACCUGUCCCUCAUCUGAGGGUCAAAUAGGCCUUCAUUGAUUAAAAUAGAAACUCAGUAGUGAUCCAUUUUAACCAUGUAUGUACAAGUAAUUAACACUACACUCCAGUUUAACAUUAAUGCCUGAAAUUCAGGUCUUAGAAUCAGCACUAAAUGCUGAAGGAUCAAAGUUUGAUUUUAAAUUUAAUUAUAUUUGAGCUUGGCAGCCCAAGCCUUGGUAAUUGAUAUGAAAGCCAAGUUCAUCACAAAGGUAGCAACUAGAGAACUCUUAAAGUAUACAAUUUUGGCUUUAUUUACCAAUGCAAUUUCUGUCAUUACAUUAGAGAGAUGAAAGAACUUUAUUUCCUUCGCUAGCUCUUCGCUUUGCCCUGGCCAACUCUGACUGUACAUUCAGGGAGUUCAUUUGCUUCUCUUGGGACCACCCUUGUACUCAGCAGGUCACAUAACUCAUUAUGCAUGCCAGAAGAGAAGAUACUACCAUAUCCUUAGCUUCUGUGAAACUUCUAUGUUGCUUAUCCUUUUGGCUACUGGACGGCAUAGGAGUCCUAUCCUCCACUUGCUUUUUAGCCUCAUCAACUCCAUUACUUCUGAGAAUAGGUCUUGCCACAUAAUAACCAUGUUAGAAUGGUAGGAGUGUAUAGUGAUCAUAUAGAUUUCAUUUAAGGCAAUGUAAUAUAUUUAUGCAAAUAAGAUACUUAUAACUGUACAUUACUAAUGUUUCACAGUCAUCAAAAGCUAAGAAUGCAAUUUAUGUGAAUAGCCAUUUUUUCUCUAGUGAUCAAAAUGAUUUCACCUACACUGUUGCGUUUAUAUUUGCCAGAGCAUUAUGAGAAAGCAGAACUUAGUUUAUCAACAAGCUUUACAUUCUAGCAUAAUCUAGUAAUUUACAACUUGACGUAUUCUCCUGUAACACUUAUUCCUGUGUUACAGUUCAUCAAUCAAACUGCAAUUUCUUCUUAUUUUCAUCUAUCUUGAAUAUGACUAUUCUGUGUAGAAUAAUUAAAGGAAUAAAAUUUGGAAAAUAAAUGACAAUCUGCCUUUGAAAUUCUGUAAUUCUAUGCCAUUUCCAGAAAUUGAAAGGGAAAUGGAGAGCACAUUGUAUAACUAGACUUUGAAACGCUGUUAUUUUUAAAAGGUAGUUGAGAAAAUGUGCAUUGAUCAGCUUUGUGUACCGCCACACAAGGAGGCAAGAAAUUAAGAUAACAGUAAUGGUCUCCUAUUGAACUGUCUCACAUUUUCAUGUGUUACAAAUUUCUUAAGUAGAUCAGCAUGUUUUUGCUGCUCUGUGACAGUCAUAAAUCUUGGCUAAUCAUCCUCUGAGUGGUCAGUGCAUUAGCUCUGUAACUUCAGUUAAGUACACUACCAUCAAGUUCUGAGAAAUCUACUGUAACACAGCUUAAACCAUUAGAUUAAAAAUGACCAUAGGAAUUCCCAUCGUGGCUCAGUGGUUAAAGAAUCCGACUAGGAACCAUGAGGUUGCAGGUUCCAUCCCUGGCCUUGCUCAGUGGGUUAAGGAUCCGGCGUUGCUGUGAGCUGUGGCCUAGGCCAGUGGCUACAUCUCUGAUUGGACCCCUAGCUUGGGAACCUCCAUAUGCCGCGGGAGCAGCUCUAGAAAUGGCAAAAAGACAAAAUAAUAAUAAUAAUAAUAAUAAAUAAAAAAAUUAAAAUGACCAUAAAUACUAAUUGUUGUAAAUGAAGCCAACUUUAGAAUAUACCAUUUGAACUUCAAAGCUUCACUUAAGUUUAAAUAUUUAAAAUCAAAAUGGCCAGAAAAAUAUCAGAACCACCACAUCCAACAUGUAUUUUUUCAUGUGUGUCUAUGUGUUUUGCUCUAACAUCAGAACACACAAAAAAACCAUUUGUUCCCAAAUGUAGAGAACAGGGCAAUAUGUCAGACUAGAUAACCUGACAUUUCUUUUGGAAAAAAAUAAAAUAAGACCGAAAAUGCUGAAUAAGAUGUCACAAGCUUCUUUCUUAAUACAUUGUUGAGUUUAAAAUAAUAUAAGGCCAAUGCCUGAGAAUCAAAAACAUAAAGAGUAUCCGAAACCCAGCGUAUAAGCAUGAGUUUACCAUGGUUGCCCUAGAGAGCAAAUAGGUAUAGCCAUUCUAGAAAACUGAGGAAGGUGGGCUUAACGCCUUUGAGAGGAACAAAGAUAAGGUCUCUGUUUCCACACAAGGUGGUGUGUUGUACUUGAUAUUCUCAGGCACAAAUUCAAGAUGAGUCAGUGAAAAUUUUGCCUACCCUAGGGAGAGAUGACAUUGUUUGAUGGUAUUAUCUUUCGUGUCAGGUGGCUUAAGCAAGAACAUUUUCAAUUAGUUUGUUGAAAAUACUCCAUGAAAGCGGUAUUAGCACAAAAAGGACAGAUGUAUUAUGAAAUGAGAGGAGAAUAGGAGGAUACAAAGUUAUGGUAACAGAAAGAUUAAUUAUCUCAGGAGGGGUGUAUGUUUGCUCAUAAGUGAUUUAAGGGCAAUGGGAAGCUUAGAAAAGCCAUAAACAUAGCUACCAGUGGGGAAAAGAAAAAAAGAGAAAGAGAAAAAUAACUCCAUGAUUAAUUUCUCAGUCCUUUAGACCAAAGCAACCUCCAAGCCCAUCUAUUACCCAUAGACCAGUGAGUCUCAUUAGAGCAGGCCACCAUUGAAAUUUGGUUGAUGCCUGAAGUUGCAUAUAUACAAAAUGUGAUAUGAGAUCAGGUGUAAAAUUUAAUUUAGAAAGAUUAAGAAAUGGAAAAGGUGAAAUUAUAAGAAAGGUAGGAUAUGCUUUAGGCUCCAGCUGCAAGAGAAAUACUAGAAAUUCAGAGAUGAGGCUAAUAGCUUAAACAGUCUUUACUUCAUUAGAGUAUGAAGUCUACAUAAAUACAUGAGAAUAUAUUUUGAAGCUAUUAUGUUAUCUUUGAUCAUAAGGCAUCAUUUUUCUCUCUUCUGAAAGGAGAGUAAUGUUAACAAGCAAAGUAGAGACAUACAGACACUCACUAAAGUUUAACAAUAACCUAAUAAUAGAAAAAUAAGAAACUAUAAAUGCUUCAGUAAUUGGACUUAAAUUUAAGAAUCAGUCUAAUAAAUUCAAAGGGUCAUAUUAGCAGUUCUAACAGAGUUGAGAUGCUGCAAAGCAGGCUUUAGGAAAAUAUAAUUGAGGUAGCUUAAUAAAACUCUUUUAAUCUGUCUUCCCUGACCCCAUUCAGGAUUUUCUUACAAAUAAAUAUAAUGUAAUAUAUUUUAAUUUUAUUAUUCCUAAAAAAUUAGAUCCAUUUACCUUUAAAACAUUUUUAUUAUAUAAAAAAAUGUAAAACCCUUAAGGACAUUUGAUAAACUCUAGCUUUUCCUCCUGUGUAUUCCUAUCUAAAUUGUCAAAAAAAAUUUAAAAUUCAUGUCUGUAUUUUAAUAUUUAAUAUUUAGUUCCUCCAAAAAGAAAUCACGUUUUUGUAGUGUUAAUUACCU
rnacentral:lncRNA from 1 species